rnacentral:rRNA from 1 species
CCUACGGGGUGCAGCAGUGGGGAAUAUUGCACAAUGGGGGAAACCCUGAUGCAGCGACGCCGCGUGAGUGAAGAAGUAUUUCGGUAUGUAAAGCUCUAUCAGCAGGGAAGAAAAUGACGGUACCUGAUUAAGAAGCCCCGGCUAACUACGUGCCAGCAGCCGCGGGAAUACGUAGGGGGUAAGCGUUAUCCGGAUUUACUGGGUGUAAAGGGAGCGUAGACGGCAGCACAAGUCUGGAGUGAAAUGCCGGGGCUUAACCCCGGAACUGCUUUGGAAACUGUGCAGCUAGAGUGCAGGAGAGGUAAGUGGAAUUCCUAGUGUAGCGGUGAAAUGCGUAGAUAUUAGGAGGAACACCAGUGGCGAAGGCGGCUUACUGGACUGUAACUGACGUUGAGGCUCGAAAGCGUGGGGAGCAAACAGGAUUAGAUACCCCAGUAGUC